GCCAUGGCGACCGCAUCAUCGCAGCCGCACAAGCAGCCUGGCUGGCNGGCGGGCGGCGUCGGACUGGAGCGGUGCGAUGGCGGCGGCCGGAGGGCGCGUAGGCUCCUCGGUGUCGGCUCGGGGACUGGCCCGCUCGGUGGCCCACAGGCUGAAGUAUUAUAUUGACGUGCAAAGAAAAGAAGAGUCCUUUGAUUCGUCCGUGGUGCCCCAUGAUGUGGCUGAAAGAUUGAACCUGCAUUGCACAUAUUUGACUGAGCAGAAGAAAAGUGACAAGUUGGAGCAUAAUUUCGCUGAAAUUAAAUUGGAAGCAUAUCUACGAGCCUAUGUGGGUGAUGCCAAAGAAUGUAACAGAAAAGCCCAGGAAAGUCGAGAACAGCAAAAGGAUGUGGAAAAUCUUAUUAAAAAGAUGGCACGAAAUUAUGUACCUGACAGAAUGAAUAAGGGCAAAGCAAAAAGCNCAAAAAGGCAAAAGAAGACACAGAAUGCCUCCAAUCUGCACAAAACUGCAACCCCAAGUAUGUCACCAGAAGAAGUACAGAGGCUUGUUUCAUCGGCUUCCAAACUGAUAGUGGCUGCUACUUCUGAAAGGCCUUCAGAAGACGGUGUUUCUUCUCCAGGGAAAAAAGAGAUGGAAAACAAUUGCAGUUCAGAAAAUGCCUGCAAGCAAUGUCGGCCCUUCGUAUAUUCUCAGAAGGAUGAAACAAAAAGGAUCCAACAAAACCAACAAAGAAAACAUUUGCAAGAUAUGAAGAGAUCUAGAACUCCAAAUAUUUCUAGUAACUUGGAAAAAUCCAAGAGUAUGUCUUUGAAAACUAAACCAAAGAGCAAAACUUCAGUUAUUGUAAGCCCUAUAGUUCCAAGUUUGCAAACUGCACAGGAUAAAGCAUUUCAGAAAGGCAUCCUGAAAACUAGAGCCUCUCUAUCCUGCAGUUCUACAACAGGACCUGGAUUCCAAGAUGUACAAGCCAACCCUAAACGGAAGAACAUUUCUCCUGCCCAGCAAAGUAUAGAGAAUUCUGCUGUCAUUUCCCAGCAGCUGUUUAAAACCAAAACGCGAGAGGCAUCUCAUAGACUAACUGAAGUGUUUCCAGACAGUAAGAGCUGCUUGUCUAAGAGGUUUUCCAGUGCACACCAAAUCCUGAGUGUGAAUGAUAAUUGCGAAGAACAAGGAUAUAUCUCAGAACUCUCAGCACAAUCUGCAGGUGAAGUGAUGGGUACCCACAGGUUGGCUGGAAAAAAGGCUCGGAAGCAGUAUCAUUCCACAAGGAUUCCUGGUUUGCUUUUUCAAGGUCAGGAGAACCAAAGAGAUGGCCUGUGUGGCUGGGAGGGUAAACUUGUGGAAAAUGCUGGAAAACAUUGGCCUCAGGGGGAAGGGCAAGAAGGCUGUGAUGUAGAGUCGAGAAAACCCCCCAUCUGCCAUGGGAUCCGUUGUGCAGCAGUUCAUCAGGGGAAUAGUCUUGGCACCGCAGUGUGUGAACAGCAUACACCGACAACUUCCAACCCGCGUGAUUGGAGAGGAACUGAAGAUGCAAGUCCGACAACUGACAAUAUUAACGCAUCCUCUGGGGUGGCAGAGGGUCAGGACCACAAGGAGAUCCCUGUGCCCAAGAAUGGCUCCUCUUUUCUGCAUCAGGUGUGCCAGGAAAUGGAGAGAGGGGCAUCAAGGAGUUUGGUCUCAGGCAGCUCUGCAACUUCAGGGGGAGACAGAGGAAGCCAAAGGACACCUCUGUUUGUGGACCAGCUGCUCUGCAGGGCACCAGGAGCUGAGGAUCUUGCAGGCGGCACGCAGGAGCAGGCCUUGGCUUCCAGAGAUACCUGCGAUGGACAGGUGUCGGGGGCCACAGCGGUGAUGCCUGGAUACUCAGCGUUGCCGAGGAACUGUGCUUGUGAAGCCUCCAAAGAACAGAAUUCAGAGUCCUCUGCUUUCAUGACGGCUCUUGCAGAAGGAGUGGAAAAGGAGCAGUUGGAAGAGGAGUUUACCAUUUCUUCUGCCUCUAGCAGCUUCAGUGCCAGAUCACUAAUUAGCCUACACAAGCAGAUGAGAGGAAAUGAUGAGGAGCAAAGCAGUACUGACUCCUGCCUGGAACCUCUUGCUCAUGGAGUUGUGAUGCCAGACGAGAACUCAGUGGAGCAACACUGUCAACACCGUGAAAAGCCAAGUUGUCAUGCUGAGAAGAGGCCAGACACGCAUCACGAGACAGACGGCAUCUGCACUGGUCAGACUGUUUAUUUUUCCCAUUUCCCCAAACUGUUUUAGCUCAACUUUCCAAACCGGAAUGUUUGAUACAGUGUUUGUUGUGUUUGUGGCAGUUGAAUCAACAGUAUUAAGAGUUGGAAAAAUGCCUUCUAUAAAAUUUCAGUGAUGUCUGCCCAGUGCCAGAAGUUUAGGCUGAAAUCAGUUAUUAACAGGACAUCUAUUUCCAUUAUAGCAACUUUGGUUAUUCUGACUAUGCUGCUGAAGGGCAGAAGGAGACGCACCCUUUAAGCAAAGUGUGGUUUUAAUGCAUAGAAUCCUAUGAGAUCUGUGGAGCUGAAUUCGAAGGUUUCUAAUGCUCUCUGCCAUAGAGGGACUUCUGAGAGUGUUGUAAGGAGAGCCCUGCUGAAUCCAAGUAGAGGCCCAUCCAAUUUUGCAUCUUGUUUCUAGGAAAGCUGGAAAGUUUCAAGUUAAAAAUGGGCNAUGGUUUCAGCACCAGCGGCGGCCACCGGCUUUAAGCCCAGGUGUUCACGCCCCGUGCAAAGCGCACCAUGGCUGUUCGUGGGGCCUCCGNGCCUCCGUACCACUGUUCAACACUCUGAAUGCCAUUUUAAGACUGGUUUUUUUCCCCCUGGCUAAUGGACAAUUGGAAUUAAAAAAUACAUCCCUGCCACUUUCUUUUGGGGUUGCUGGUAGAUAGUAGCCACCGUGCCUUACUACUUAAAAGAAGUGGUGACAGAAGUCAGCCUAGAUAACUUUAAGAAUGGAUUGGACAGAUUCAU
ensembl:lncRNA